rnacentral:lncRNA from 1 species
UCUUUCUAGAUUAACUUUGGCUUUCAGGUGAAAGAAUCAUUUGAAGAUAUUCUCUAGACUUAAGGGGAAGGUGAACUCAGUUGCGACUUCCCUAAGCAAGUCUGUUCAGCCCACAAAGGAAACCAUCCCAGGCAGUUUGAGAUCAUGUUCUUUAUAUCCCUUUUCCCUUAGUUUCAGACAAUAGUUGGGAUUCCACAGUGGCUGGUUCCAGUUUCUGAGUAUUACCUCCAUCCUGUAGAUAUUGCAGGAUCUAGGCAUGUAGGGGUCCAGGUCCACCCCCUUCCCCAAGCACACCUGUAUGCCACCAACACACUGGACUGACUGGGUUUACUUAGCAACUCACAUUGUUCAAAAUCUCAAGCCGACCUUUCCUCUUUAUGUUAAUUUGUGUCAAGCAGGUUUAGUCUUUAGAUCCCUACAGAUUUUUUCAACACACUAGGAAAAACAGAGUACUACAAUUUUGCUCUUGAAUAAUACUUAAACUAAAACAAGCAAAAAUUAACAUUCACAUACAGAUUAUCAUCCUUAUGUUAAGAAUGUUCUCAAUGCACCUUACUUUCUUCUGUCUUGGUGUUCCUAAGAAUGGUUUGGUUGCUUUUAAAUCAUAAACUGCUGGGUGCAGUGGUGCCCAUCUAUAACCCCAGCAACUCAGUAGGCUGAAGCAGAAUCAAAAGUUCAAAGCCAGUCUCAGCAAUUUAAUGAGGCCCUGAGUUAGCCAGACCCUGUUUCAAAAUUUUAAAAAAAGGACUGGAGAUGUUACUUAGUGGUAAAGCGCCCCAGGUUUAAUCCCCAGUGCCAAAAAAUAAGAAAAUGAAAA